AGGUUAAAGACUACAUGAGACUUUGACAGAUGGCGGGAAACCCUCAUCCACUGGUAGAGGAAUGUCUGCGACUAAGCCGAGGGCCACUGGAUAAGGGUUGUUGACGGUAAAACAGGUUAAAGACUACAUGAGACUUUGACAGAUGGCGGGAAACCCUCAUCCACUGGUACGAACCCGGUAAAUUGAUGGCUGUAAAACAGUGACCGCUGAUUCGCAUCGAGUUCUUUCUUGCAAAACGCAUGACCCCCCUUUUUUAUUGUCUAAAUCAUUGCGGCUUGGAAUGCUCUUUAAGAAAAGGUAUGGUUAUGGGGGUCUCUAUGCGCAAAAGUUUGACUUUAUUUUUUGUUGAAGUUAUUGCUUUUACAUUGAAUUUGUGUAGGAAAUCUUUUGGUAUAUUGUAA